rnacentral:rRNA from 1 species
GACGAACGCUGGCGGCGUGCUUAACACAUGCAAGUCGAACGGAAAGGCCCUGCUUUUGUGGGGUGCUCGAGUGGCGAACGGGUGAGUAACACGUGAGUAACCUGCCCUUGACUUUGGGAUAACUUCAGGAAACUGGGGCUAAUACCGGAUAGGAGCUCCUGCUGCAUGGUGGGGGUUGGAAAGUUUCGGCGGUUGGGGAUGGACUCGCGGCUUAUCAGCUUGUUGGUGGGGUAGUGGCUUACCAAGGCUUUGACGGGUAGCCGGCCUGAGAGGGUGACCGGCCACAUGGGGACGGAGAUACGGCCCAGACGCCUACGGGAGGCAGCAGUGGGGAAUAUUGCACAAUGGGCGGAAGCCUGAUGCAGCAACGCCGCGUGCGGGAGGGCGGCCUUCGGGUGGUAAACCGCUUUCGCCUGUGACGAAGCGUGAGUGACGGUAAUGGGUAAAGAAGCACCGGCUAACUACGU